rnacentral:rRNA from 1 species
GACGAACCACACAAACGUUAUUCGGAAUUACUGGGCUUAAAGGGUGCGUAGGCGGCGCGGAAAGUUGGGUGUGAAAUCCCUCGGCUCAACCGAGGAACUGCGCCCAAAACUACCGUGCUCGAGGGAGAUAGAGGUGAGCGGAACUUAGGGUGGAGCGGUGAAAUGCGUUGAUAUCCUAAGGAACACCGGUGGCGAAAGCGGCUCACUGGGUCUCUUCUGACGCUGAGGCACGAAAGCUAGGGGAGCGAACGGG